rnacentral:rRNA from 1 species
UACGGAGGGGGCUAGCGUUAUUCGGAAUUACUGGGCGUAAAGCGCACGUAGGCGGCUUUGUAAGUCAGAGGUGAAAGCCUGGAGCUCAACUCCAGAACUGCCUUUGAGACUGCAUCGCUUGAAUCCAGGAGAGGUGAGUGGAAUUCCGAGUGUAGAGGUGAAAUUCGUAGAUAUUGGGAAGAACACCGGUGGCGAAGGCGGCCCACUGGACGAACACUGACGCUGAGGCGCGAAAGCGUGGGGAGCAAACAGG